UACAGAGGUCUCAAGCGUUGUUCGGAUUCAUUGGGCGUAAAGGGUGCGUAGGCGGCGCGGUAAGUCGGGUGUGAAAUCUUGGAGCUUAACUCCGAAACUGCAUUCGAUACUGCCGUGCUUGAGGACUGGAGAGGAGACUGGAAUUUACGGUGUAGCGGUGAAAUGCGUAGAUAUCGUAAGGAAGACCAGUGGCGAAAGCGGGUCUCUGGACAGUUCCUGACGCUGAGGCACGAAGGCCAGGGGAGCAAACGGG
rnacentral:rRNA from 1 species